CACCAGAAAAGAACUUGACAUUAUGUCACCAUCGUCUUUUUUCCAUUAGUUAAAUGAAACAAGAAAGAAGCAUGGGCAAAAGGAAAUCAGUUAUUCUGAUUGAAGGAAGUUGGAUCUUAACAAAAUGGACUCUUGAGUGGGAACAACUGAAUACAAUUGAAGCAAAGGAAGAUAGGUGGUUAAUGGAAGCACGAUGACAAACGAGCAGAGGAGCAAAUGGAUCAGAAGAAAGAGGACCUAAUUACAUGAAUGUGACAGUAAGUUAUAGUAUGAUCUUUUGGUCAUUGAUCAAUAAAAUAAUGAGAACUCAUAAUAUAUAAAAAAAUAACUUAUCAUUAUUGUUAUUUGCUUUAGUUUGUCUUUCUUUUCUCUUUGUCCUCCGAUAAUUGUCAUGUAACAGAUUCUUUUUGAAUCCAUUAUUUAUAAAAAAAUUUCCUGUGACUUUUGAAACCCACAAUUUCAACCAAACAUUUUUACUUGAAAAUAAAAACAACAAUUUAUUAUCCAGAGAGAAAGCAAUGAAUAAAGUUUACAUAACAACAACUCGAAUUUGAUCAACUGCCACACUCGGACAUUUUUUCCUUGCAUCAAACUUGAGUUGUAUACCACAUGGUUUAUAAAAGUCUAUAUAAUUAAAUCCAUAACACCAACAGAGCAGUAAAGAGCAGCAAUCAGUAAGUGAAGGAAAAGCGACAACUUCGACAUAUGAACGACCUGCAACCAUAGAGGGUUUCUCUACACCUAAACAAUUACGCUAUGUGCAUCUUGAACACCACAAGCUAGAAAAUAAACCCGGACAUGCUCAGCUCAGAUGACGAUUCAGCAACAUAUUUGAAGGGGUAUCUAAUUCGAUGAGAGCAGAGCAAACCGACGCACUAAAGGAACGAGGGCUCUUGGCCAUCAAAGGAUGGAUCAGGAGCUACGUUGCCAGCUCAACAUACCAAGCAGUAUCGUACAUGUAACACUACACAAUUCUCAAAUCAAUGCUAAUGUCUCUGGGGCAAAUUGUCGAACAGGUGGUGAACGCGAACUGCGAGAGGUUCGGUAGUUCAGUAGACAGAUACAUUCAAUGAACCGGCAUGACAUGAGAUGGUUAUCCAGAUGAAUCAACAAAUUCGAAGGCAAACGAAGAACGAUCCAACGUCGGAGUGCUCUCAACCGAAGAGAAACAGAACAUCCUAGGAUGAUUACCUGGGAUCGGCUACAGUGACGCGCGACUUGAAUCGCGGGGGCGGAAGAGAGCCGUGACGAAGUGGAGAACGCACUCACUGGAAAUGACGGCACCGAUCGGGGGUAGGAUGGUCGUCGGCGUGGCGUGGCGCAAUCAAUGAGCGCCUAGGGUUGAGGACGGAGUUGGAGUCGACGGUAGCGAGCAGACGGAGUGGAUGCUGCCAAGAGGAGUCGUCGACUGCAAGGAGGACGAAGUCAGAGUCGACGGCGAGGUGAGCGACGAUGUGACCGACGAGAGGAUGGAGUUGGAGUUGACGGCGAGAUGAGCGACGAUCUGACUGGCAAGAGGACGGCGACGGCAGGGAGGGCCGCGGGUUCCGAUCUCGGAGACGAACCCGAGAUGGGUUCGACGCGAUCGGAUCCGGCGAAGUCGUCGACUGCAGGGAGGACGAAGUCAGAGUCGACGGCGAGGUGAGCGACGAUGUCACCGGCGAGUGGAUGGAGUUGGAGUCGACGGCGAGGAUGGACAGCUACGGAGUCGACCGCGCGAGGUUUUUGGUUGAAGCGUUGAGGAGAAGGAACGUUCCCGUCUGGUGAACGAAGAAGAUGCCCGAAUUAGAGAAAAGAAGAAAUAAU
rnacentral:lncRNA from 1 species